UUUUUUUUUUUUUUUUUUUUUUUUUUUUUUAAGGUGAGAGGACAGGAAAUGCUGAUAGGAAGGGGGAAAAAUGUGCUUUAGAGAGUAAUUUUAUUCAGACGGAGCCUCUUGAUCUGAAGGGGAAAGGCGGUGCUAUAAGCAAGGAAAAUAUGAAAUUGGUAAAGUGUGGCCGCCCUUGAUGUGCGCCGAUGGGGUGAUCAGCUCCCCUUAUCAUGCGGUCCCACCCACCUCCCCGUAGCUCAACUCCUCCUAUAUCCCCGGAACCCUGGAAAACGGGGCAGGAAGCCAGUCUGGAGGGCGCUCUGCUCCUGCACCUGAAAGAAUUCCUGGGCUGCAGGCGUGUUGCUGAAUCCAUCAGAGCGGACAGUUUGUCGGAAUAAAUAGCAAUGGUUUUGUGCCCACCAUUCCCUUCUCAAAAUUCAUGAAAACCCAAAUGCUCCCACCAUUUCACUGCAACUUUGCAUAGUGGCAAUGGCUGUCAUUUCUCUCUGCUCUCUUUAAGGGGGAGGAAGGGCCAGUCAUGGGUCAUUACAUAAAUGGCACAGCACGCCUUCGCCCAGCUCUAAAUCUGGAAGGGGGUUCUGAGAAGUACCUGACAUGAAUCUUUGCCCCUACUAAGGGGACAGUGUACCCAUCCUUGGCUUCCAGGAAAUGUUCUCCAAAGUGAAAUGUACACUCAACUAGGUACCCAAGGCGAUGCUGGGAAACUUUGUUUUUUAGAAUCUGCCCUUAGCUUUGAUUUCCCCAGGUACCGGAAGCUUUUUGCCUGGUGAGUCCGUUCUUCCUCCACAGUAUCAUUUUUAAUUCAUAAAAUACACUUGCUAAGCCAUAGAGAGGGUUUACAGAAUCAGCAAUAGCUAUGAGGCAAAAAAUAAAUAAAGUCCACCAGCCUCGUUAGGAUGUGGUGCCAAUCAACAGAAGAAAUAAGUCCAAAUAUGUAUAUAAUUAGAUACAUGUUUCCAGCUCCAUCAUGCACACCCUCAAUAUGCAAAUGCAUAUUCAUAAACAUUCCUGCUCUUAUAAAUGCCGUGCGUAUCUGAACUGGUUAUCUAACCUGAUGGGCAUCGCGUCCUUUGAUUGUAUUCAUAUUUUAAAAUAUUAUACCCCUGCUACAUGCAAGGCAUUGAUGUACAUUCGUGCGUUUUAUUCUCGUGAUAUCUUUUAAAGAAAUAGGAUCAUCCCCAUUUUUCCGAUGACAAAGAUAAGGUUGAAAAGAGCUGCCAUCAUUUGCUCAAAAAAGCAUAUAGCUCAGAAGUGGCAAGUUCUCAGCUCAUGCCAUUUUUAAUAGGUCACACAAGGAUUUGCAUGUCAUUUAUUGUACAUGUUGGGAAUUAUGACGAGAUGUGCAACUAUAAAGAAAGAAUUUACUCCCAGAUAUUAUAAAGUCAAGGACCAGCAGAGUUCCAGAAGAAAAAAAUUUCCAUCUUUUAUGUUUUAUGAGGUUCCCAGAGGAAAGACGUUUGAACCUAAGGUUCUUGUGCUGUUAAACCAGCAAUCUCAAAUGGAUGCAAGAGUCAGGUAACAUGAAUCAAAUGGAGGUGAGGAGAAAGGAGUGGUGUGGACUGUGGUAAACUCCAGGGCAUGGGUCCUACCUCAAAGAGGGAAAGCUGUUUGGCUCCGGCUGACUGUGGCCGUGCAGGAACAGGGCUCAGCAGUACCACAUCACUUGCGUCUCCUACCUUUUUUUUUUCCAAAGGCAAUUCUCCGUAUGAACUUUUUGAAAUUUUUCCAUGUCUUUAUGACUUAUAAAUAUUGGCAAAUAUAAUGCACUCCUUUUCAAAAUACUAGCAAUUCAAACAAAAUGCAUUUGUGGGCAGCGUGUAACCUCGGUCCUCUCGUUUGCAGUGUCUGUGAUAGGGCUUUGCUCCUUCUGGUGCCUACUGACUUCGACGGACUCAUCCGGCUGGCCUUGACUCCUUUCUGGGGCUCGAGGGGGAGUAUCUCUUAGUGCCAAUUACUGGACUAGAAGAGCACGGGGCCUCUGCCCUGGAGUGGGAGAUUCCACGCUGUGGCAGGGAGAGCGUCACCCACCCUCUGUGGGUUGGGGCAACUUCACUGGUCCAGGUUGGACUGGAUUAGUUAAGUGUUUCCUUCAUGCUCUAAAGUCCUAGACUAGGGCUAUUUGUGUUUUAAUGGCAUCGGUGUGAUAAGAACUGCACCCAUGUCCCCUUCUCUGCAAACGCCCCGAAGGAGCAGAACUUUCUGAACCUUACAUGCCACUGUGACCCGGGGCUGGCCAUGGUCACGUCGGCACCAGCCCCCUCUCUCAGGUGCAUUUCCCUUCAUCUGCGUUGGAGUUCCUUCUUUCUCUUCCUUCGAAGUUCCCCUCCAAACUCGUUUCCACCUUUGAGCCUCGACGCCGUGGUUUCCGCCUGGAAUGACCUUCCAGCCAAUCUUUCUUGGGCUGACUCAUUUCUCAUGUCUGAGCUCAGACGUCACCUUCUCCGAGUGGCCUCCCUGACCCCUGGACUAUAGCAAUGUGACCCCCGCUCCCAGGCUAGGGGUCGAAUCGGAGCUGUAGCCACCGCCUACGCCAGAGCCACAGCAAUGCGGGAUCCGAGCCGCGUCUGCAACCUACACCACAACUCACGGCAAAGCCGGAUCCUUACCCCACUGAGCGAGGCCAGAGAUCGAACCCGAAACCUCAUGGUUCCUAGCCGGAUUCGUUAACCACUGCGCCACAACGGGAACUCCCAAACCACCUCAAUUCAAAUCCCAGCACUGCUUCUUCUGUGCUCUGUGACAGUGGGCAGGUCACCUCACCUCUCCAUCCCUCAGUUUCCUCGUCCGUAAAAAGGGAAAUUGGGAAUCGUUAUAAUAACAGUACCUCAUAGGGGUGCUAUGAGAAUUAAGUAUUUUAAAAAUGACUGUUGGUAAAGCGCUUAGAAGAAAUAUUGGUAACGUGUUUGGAACAUGUAUUAGGACCAAUAGUGGCUGUUAUUAUUAUUAAUUUCAUCAUCCUCGCCUCCCACAUCUUGAAUAAGUUCCAGGUGAGAAUCGAUGCUGGCUCUCUCCUUAAGCUCUGUGUCCGCCUUGCACAGCACAGAGUAACUGCUCAGGAAAUACGGAUAGAAUACAGGUAUGAUGGAAAGGAAACUUUGAAAAGUCAGUCCAAUAGACUACGCUUAGCACUGCACAGUUCAUUUCUUCAGCGUCCCUCACUGUCUUUGUGUAUCCUAUCUGUGUGUAGAGCUCUGUGUAUGUGUGUGUCUUUGUCUCUAUUUUAUUACAUUAAAAUAAGGAUGAGGAUAAAGUGCCUGGAAAGCCGGGAAAGUAGUUCACUGGGUUGCCCCAGCCGGUGGUUUCCUGGCAAGCUGAUGUCUGAGUAACAACGCCCCACUUGAACCAGCAGCUCCCCCCAUUAACCACGUACACUGACAGGGUUCAAACACCGGGAAGUGGCAGCACGGCUGCAGGACCACUGUAGCCUUCCUAACGAUGCGGGUGAUGUGGUCUCUCGCUCCUGGGCAGAAUGGAAAAUGGAGAAGAAAGCCCCCAAUCGGUGUGCGGAGGUGCCACCUUCAACAAAGAAAUCCUGCCAUUCCAAACUGUCGAGACCUUUAAAAAUAAAAGAUGUGCUGUAUUUCCAGCACUAUUCAGUAUUCAUGAGGCUUCGCAGCUUGUUGUAAGGCAAGAUGAAAACAAUACUCAGUAGAUUUUCAUAAGUGACAUGUAACUGUAAGAUUGAUAGAUGAUGCAGUUUUAAUGUAUGUGAAGUUCAAAACCAACAUAAAAGCUGCAAGGCACCUGAACACUGCAUUCCAAACCCACAUUUCUCCCAGUGAUGAGUCCCAGCUCCCCCCUCCCCCCGCAACUCUUCUGUGUGGACAAAACCCAAAGCAGGCUCACCCUAAGGAGGGGCGGAUUUCUACUGAGCCCCCCAAGGACAAAGUCGGGGAUGUUUUUGUUGACAUAGCAGGCGUUCUUGUGUACACUGUCCCCUCCACAUUAACAUGAUGGGUCAUGAAUGGUUAAAUAUCUCCACUUACUUCUGCUAAUCAAUGCCAAGGACAGUGGUUAACACUUCUGGGGGUUCAGGAGCACAGAAGGUCAGCCACAUUGCUAGGUGCUCCCUGAAAUGUCCUUGCUUUAUAGUUCAUAGCUUACUGGCCACUGUAGGUUUGCUCUAUAUUACACACACACACACAUACACACCUGCACACACACAUAUAUAGUUAUAAAUUAUAUGCUAUUAAAUAUCAUAUGCCAUAAUAGUUGUAGUCUACGUGUAGUGUAUAUAAUAUAUGCAGCUAACUAUGUAUGUUAUCUUUAAACACAAUGUACAGAAAAUACAGGGUUUUAAGAAUUUUCACAGCCAGCCUCAGUCAAGCAGUGUUUGUGUCUAUCCUUUUCCCAUGAAUGUCCGGGAGUGGAACAUUAGAAAGAGUUAAACUCUGUCUCUUCACUUUGAACCCUCCUUUCUUUUUGUCUCAUCACUUGUUGCCAACAUCAAUUGAACAUUAGGACCUGCCAGGCUGUGAGCAGGAAGUGCUAUAAGGAAAGCUGAUGUGGACACAAAGGGAUGACACGUGCUAAAGAGAAAUACGCGUACAUGCCAGCAGGCACACGUACACACCCAGUGGUUUCUAUAUUGAUAAGCUUUCGCUUUUUCAUUUUUUUUUUUUUUUCAUUCUCAUUGAGAGCAGGAGACUUGGUUUCUGUUUUUAUUUUGCUUUGGUUCCGGUCUAGUUAAUAUGAAGUGAGUAAGAUUAGAAAGAGAUCAUUAAAAUAGCACAAUAGCAGCAGUGAUUCCAUGAGG
rnacentral:lncRNA from 1 species